rnacentral:rRNA from 1 species
GGGUGAGUAACGCGUAUGCAACCUGCCCGUUUCAGCGGGAUAACCCGGAGAAAUCCGGCCUAAUACCGCAUGUGGCCGAGGGGAGGCAUCUUCUUUCGGCCAAAGGGGGCGACUCCGGAGACGGAUGGGCAUGCGUGACAUUAGCUUGUUGGCGGGGUAACGGCCCACCAAGGCGACGAUGUCUAGGGGUUCUGAGAGGAAGGUCCCCCACACUGGUACUGAGACACGGACCAGACUCCUACGGGAGGCAGCAGUGAGGAAUAUUGGUCAAUGGGCGAGAGCCUGAACCAGCCAAGUCGCGUGAAGGAUGACGGCCCUACGGGUUGUAAACUUCUUUUGUCAGGGAGCAAUUGGGUCCACGCGUGGGCUUAGCGAGAGUACCUGAAGAAAAAGCAUCGGCUAACUCCGUGCCAGCAGCCGCGGUAAUACGGAGGAUGCGAGCGUUAUCCGGAUUUAUUGGGUCUAAAGGGUGCGUAGGCGGAAUAUCAAGUCAGCGGUAAAAAUUCGGGGCUCAACCCCGUCGUGCCGUUGAAACUGAUGUUCUUGAGUGGGCGAGAAGUAUGCGGAAUGCGUGGUGUAGCGGUGAAAUGCAUAGAUAUCACGCGGAACUCCGAUUGCGAAGGCAGCAUACCGGCGCCCAACUGACGCUGAAGCACGAAAGCGUGGGUAUCGAACAGGAUUAGAUACCCUGGUAGUCCACGCAGUAAACGAU